GGAGAGGUGCGAGAGUGGUUGAAUCGGGCGGUCUCGAAAACCGUUAUGGAAGCAAUUCUAUCGAGGGUUCGAAUCCCUCCCUCUCCU
rnacentral:tRNA from 1 species